UACGAAGGGGGCUAGCGUUGCUCGGAAUCACUGGGCGUAAAGCGCACGUAGGCGGCUUGUUAAGUCAGGGGUGAAAUCCUGGAGCUCAACUCCAGAACUACCUUUGAUACUGGCGAGCUUGAGUUCGGGAGAGGUGAGUGGAACUGCGAGUGUAGAGGUGAAAUUCGUAGAUAUUCGCAAGAACACCAGUGGCGAAGGCGGCUCACUGGCCCGAUACUGACGCUGAGGUGCGAAAGCCAGGGGAGCAAACGGG
rnacentral:rRNA from 1 species